rnacentral:misc_RNA from 1 species
GUUUGGGGUCUAGGAGAGAACAAGAAGAAGUGUUCUUUGGAGCAUAUCUCUCUCACUUUCGAUCCUGUUCUUGAUCACGGUAUAGCAAUAGUAGUUAGCUAUAUCUUCCAAGAAAGUUGAAAACUCAAAAAUGGGGAGAGCUCCAUGCUGCUCUCAGGUGGGUUUGGAUAGAGGUUCAUGGACUGCUAGAGAAGACAAGCUUCUCAUUAACUAUAUUCGUGCACAUGGUGAAGGUCACUGGAGAUCUCUGCCCAAGAAAGCUGGUCUACUCAGGUGUGGCAAGAGUUGCAGGCUAAGAUGGAUGAAUUAUCUCUGACCAGAUAUCAAGAGAGGAAACAUCACUCCUGAUGAGGAUGAU